GUCCACGCCGUAAACGAUGGGUACUAGGUGCCUGGGGAGCGACCCUCUGGGUGCCGGCGCUAACGCAGGAAGUACCCCGCCUGGGGAGUACGACCGCAAGGUUGAAACUCAAAGGAAUUGACGGGGCCCGCACAAGCGGUGGAGCAUGUGGUUUAAUUCGACGCAACGCGAAGAACCUUACCUAGGCUUGACAUGCAGGAGCAAGCUCUCAGAAAACGAGAGCCCCUCUUCGGAGAUCCUGCACAGGUGCUGCAUGGCUGUCGU
rnacentral:rRNA from 1 species